rnacentral:rRNA from 1 species
UACGUAGGGGGCUAGCGUUGUCCGGAAUCAUUGGGCGUAAAGAGCGUGUAGGCGGCCCGGUAAGUCCGCUGUAAAAGUCAAAGGCUCAACCUUUGAAUGUCAGUGGAUACUGCCGGGCUAGAGUCCGGAAGAGGCGAGUGGAAUUCCUGGUGUAGCGGUGGAAUGCGCAGAUAUCAGGAGGAACACCAACGGCGAAGGCAGCUCGCUGGGACGGUACUGACGCUGAGGCGCGAAAGCGUGGGGAGCGAACAGG